UACAGAGGUCUCAAGCGUUGUUCGGAUUCAUUGGGCGUAAAGGGUGCGUAGGUGGCGCCGUAAGUCAGGUGUGAAAUCUCGGGGCUCAACCCCGAAACUGCACUUGAUACUGCGGUGCUCGAGUACUGGAGAGGAGAUUGGAAUUUACGGUGUAGCAGUGAAAUGCGUAGAUAUCGUAAGGAAGGCCAGUGGCGAAGGCGAAUCUCUGGACAGUUACUGACACUGAGGCACGAAGGCCAGGGGAGCAAACAGG
rnacentral:rRNA from 1 species